UUUUGACCUCGGAUCAGGUAGGGAUACCCGCUGAACUUAAGCAUAUCAAUAAGGCGGAGGAAG
rnacentral:rRNA from 1 species